UGAUGUUUGGCUUAUUGUUUGUUUUUGGUGCUGUGCCUUUAUGCACACUUCACCAGACUAGCCAUACAUAUUAUUUAUAUAUACUCCUAAAUUCCUUUUUCCAGUGAUCUCUGCCUGCGAUCACCCAGCAAUCCACCCUUCCUGAAACAUAGGAUAAUCUGGGUAGUUUGUCUCCUUGUGGCUGAACUUUUGUUCUCUGGCACAUGCAUACCCUCUCCUAUAUGGAUUCCCAUAUCUGGCGUGGACCUUUUUGGUAGGCUAUGAUUGUAUAUCCUCCCCGUGAACACAGAGACAUUGAUCUCCAUAUACAGCAUUCUCCCCUUGUUUUUGGCGUACUUUCACACUGAGACAGGACUCUAUCUACAGAUCUUAUUGACUACAUGUAUUUCUCUGACACAAUGAUCGUCUGUAAUACCCCUUGAAGAAGGAUCACAGAUACCGAAACGGCUGUCGGGUUGGACCAAUUUUUGUCUCAUGUCUGUUUUAUUGCUUUACAAAUAGGAUCUGUAUACCACUUGCAUGUGGUUUUUUAUCCUUGCUAGGACACUGUACGAUGUCCUUACUUAAAUUG